rnacentral:rRNA from 1 species
AGUGAACGCUGGCGGUAGGCCUAACACAUGCAAGUCGAACGGCAGCACAGGAGAGCUUGCUCUCUGGGUGGCGAGUGGCGGACGGGUGAGGAAUACAUCGGAAUCUACUCUGUCGUGGGGGAUAACGUAGGGAAACUUACGCUAAUACCGCAUACGACCUACGGGUGAAAGCAGGGGAUCUUCGGACCUUGCGCGAUUGAAUGAGCCGAUGUCGGAUUAGCUAGUUGGCGGGGUAAAGGCCCACCAAGGCGACGAUCCGUAGCUGGUCUGAGAGGAUGAUCAGCCAAACUGGAAAUGAGGCACGGUCCAGACUACUACGGGAGGCAGCAGUGGGGAAUAUUGGACAAUGGGCGCAAGCCUGAUCCAGCCAUACCGCGUGGGUGAAGAAGGCCUUCGGGUUGUAAAGCCCUUUUGUUGGGAAAGAAAUCCAGCUGGUUAAUACCCGGUUGGGAUGACGGUACCCAAAGAAUAAGCACCGGCUAACUUCGUGCCAGCCGCCGCAGUAA